GUAGAUUUUCAUCUCUUGAAUCAAGAGGAGCAAAAGAUUAUAUUUGAACACAUUUGUCUUUUGCAUUUCAGAGACCGAGCAGAAAUCUCAGGCUGGAUUCUAUGGACCCUACACAAGGAGAAAAUUUGCUAUCAAAGGACUGAAAUGUGGAUUCACUGCUUGAAGCUCAAAAUUUGACAUAGAAGAAGAUGGGUAAUGAGGAGAUGAAGGAAACAGGAACAGGAACAAGUAAGCUCAUCUGCAAUAACAGUGACCUUAGUGCAGUCAGAUGUCUCAUGUCAUUGGGCAGACACAUUGAAUUUUUGACUAGAGCGUGAGUGCAUUUUUUUAAAGGCAAAGAUGUUAUUUCAAAUCCAUAGGAUUUUCCACUGGGUAGUAAUUAAAGCCACUCAAACUAUAAACUAUAAGAAAAGUACUUGACACUAUCUUGAGAAGUAAAUUUAUUUCAAGGUUACUUUAGGUUCAUGGGAUUUACAUUACAGAGAGGUAAGAGAUAUGUUACUGUAAUGUAGAGGAGGAUUAUGCAAUACUUAACUAUAUCUAGAUCUAAAUUUAGGCCUUUCUCCCAGCUUAAUGUCUUCAUUUCAAUAAAAAUGUUUGUUACUCUACUGGAAAAACACAGAAACAUUCAAAACAUAUUUUUUUUUCUUUGUUUUUAGGACUAAAAUACAAUUCCUCUUUUUGAAGCUCAGUUUGAAAAAUUAAUUUGUAACAUAAACACAAAGAGCAUUGUAACACAGCUCCUAAUCCCAGCUGCCUCCACCUGUUCUUUGCCUGUCUGAAAUUAAAAACCAGCAUCCAACAAUGUAAGGAAAUAGCACUUAUACCUGAUUAUUGCUUGUUUCCAAAGCAUCUCACAACACGUGUAACCCGUGUGGCAAACAGCAGCGCAAGGUCAUGAUAUCCCAAGUCUCCCAGCUUGCCUGUCUGCUGGACUGCACUCCUAGCUCUGUUUCAAGGUGCAGACCAUUGGAGAAGUUGAAGGUUUCUCCAGCCAUAUCCACUCAGCACAAAUGCUGUGACAGAGUAGACCAUGGGCUGCUGGUUAGACACAGUCACCUUCUAGCUCUACCAUGGAGCUACUAGGAAGUCACGUCCCCAUGUGUACCCAUGGGCCAGGAUCUCAUAUCCUCACUAUAAAAAGGCUUUUUUAGAUGAAAAGAUUAAAUUUGGACCUUUCUGCAUUUGCUAAAUAUCACACAAAACUGAAACACAUUUUAGAUAAGGGAUCUUAAUGUCACAGAAGAAUGCAAAUGUCUGAAUGAUACCAAAAAUCAUUUAUCCUCUGGGAACAAAAUACCUCUCUCCUAGUAAGCCUCUAGACCUCCUGUUUUGCUACUUUAAUAGAAUAGCAAUAUAUUUUUUUUUAGCAAUUCCUUUCUUUAAAAAGCAAACCUCUCUUUUUUUAACUUUUGCUGGACACUAAUCUUGGUAAAAUCUAGUGCUCAUAAAACUACAGCACUGCCCUAGGAAUUUUUUUGCAAGAGAGAGUUAUUUCUUCCUGCUGAACUUUCAUAUUGCAAGAAAAAUAUACUACCCUUUUCUAAAAAUAUGUUCUCCCUGUCACACUCAGAAAUAAAUCUGUCAGCAGGUAUUCUGACA
rnacentral:lncRNA from 1 species